GGGGAUAUAGCUCAGCGAGUAGAGCGUGUGUCUUAUAAACACGAGAUCAUGAAUUCGAAUCCCAUUGUCCCCA
rnacentral:tRNA from 1 species